UAGGUGGCCGAAAUCGAGCGCCCCCUCAUUACCGCGUGUGUAACAGGUGCACACGCAGGUAAAACCGUUUGGAAAAGAAGGGACGGUGUUUUUUUCCAAAACAGCGUGAAAGUAAGGGCUACACAACUUUAUGAAAGGCAAAAUGGGGAAUACGAAGUUUUUAAAGUGAAGCAAUCGGAUUGUUUUUCCUGCAUCGGCGUGAAAGGAGGAGUAGAAAAAUUAUGGGGUGCCAGUUACUGGAGGAAGUGGAACAUCUCAGCUGCUGACGUUCUGAUGAAUGUUUACAUGUGAUCCAGAUAGGACACACACAAAGGGGACAGGAGCGCUGUGCACGAUUGUCAUGGCAACAGCGGUGGGAAGACAAGAUGGAGGACUCAAAGCUGGCACUGUGUGUGAAAACACUAGAUGUUAUCUUUGAAAUCGUAUUGGAUUAUGAACAUUUUUCAGACUAGAAAGGUUUAUGGUCAUAAUAGAUUAUUUUAACAGGUGGAGAUUUGCCCAUACUACUGCUUACAGUGUGUAAUUAGACCAUGAAGAAUGUCCACCUCUCGUCUUUUUCCAUUGCAAUAAUAACAUGUUGCCAGUCUCUUCUCUUAAAGCUGUUCAACGACCACUCAGUUGAAACUAGAGAGACCACUUGUUGGGAAAUCCAGAGACCAAAAUGUGUCUCCGUUCCUUUCUGAUGCCAUCGCAGGGGAGCAUUAAGGUAAUGGCAAGAUGCUGUGACAAAACACCUUUUUUACUUGUGAGGCUUUUGAACUCGCUGUGCAUCUAUCUGAGAUUUGCCACAAGCAAACUACCUUGGCACUGUUGAGUUCAUAGCGAUGCUGCCUCCUGGGAUAAACUGCUGAACUGGUGUAGCGUUGCAAGAGAUGUUUUUGUCUCUUUGUCGUGCACAUCCAAUGAUAGAGUACAUUUUGCCAAAGCUAUAAGGAUUCAUAAUCUUUUGUAUAAAUGGAACUUCUGUGACACAUCCCGAGCUACUGCGAAUUAUCAUACACAACUUUUAAAUACAAACUUUGUUCUUGAAACAUAAAAUAACAUUUUCAUUGUGUGAUGAUGUGUUUGUUUGACCUUGCGCUUUGUGCCCUCUAUAAAAAUCUAAGUCAGCCA